GCCUGCCCAGUGACAAAAUUCAACGGCCGCGGUACCCUAACCGUGCGAAGGUAGCAUAAUCACUUGUUCUUUAAAUGAGGACUAGUAUCAACGGCAUCACGAGGACUACACUGUCUCCUCUCUUCAAUCAGUGAAACUGAUCUCCCCGUGAAGAAGCGGGGAUUUAUUUAUAAGACGAGAAGACCCCAUGGAGCUUUAAACCCAAUGUAUAACCCAACACACAAAUCAAUAAAGCCCUGAGGAUCUAUACACUGGUUUUAGGUUGGGGAGACCACGGAGUAAAACUAAACCUCCACAACAAACUGGCUAAAGCCCUGAUCUAUGAACUACAACUCUAAGAGCCAACAAAUUGUUGCCAACGACCCAAUCACUUGAUUAAUGAACCAAGUUACCCUGGGGAUAACAGCGCAAUCUACUUCAA
rnacentral:rRNA from 1 species